GAUGAACGCUGGCGGCGUGCCUAAUACAUGCAAGUCGAGCGAACAGACGAGGAGCUUGCUCCUCUGACGUUAGCGGCGGACGGGUGAGUAACACGUGGAUAACCUCCCUAUAAGACUGGGAUAACUUCGGGAAACCGGAGCUAAUACCGGAUAAGAUAUUGAACCGCAUGGGUCAAUAGUGAAAGACGGUUUUGCCGUCUCUUAUAGAUGGAUCUGCGCCGCAUUAGCUGGUUGGUAAGGUAACGGGUUACUAAGGCAACGAUGCGUAACCGACCGGAGAGGCGGAUCGGCCACCUAGGAAGGUGGCCACCGUCCUGACUCCUACGGGAGGCGGCAGUCUGCAAUCGUCCGCAAUAGGCGAAAGCCUGACACAGCAACCCCGCGUGUGUGGUAAAAGUCUUCCGAUCGUAAAACUCUGUUAUUAGUGAAGAACAGAUGUGUCAGUAACUAAACACGUCUUGACGGUACCGGAUCAGAAAGCCACGGCUAACUACGUG
rnacentral:rRNA from 1 species